AUUGAACGCUGGCGGCAGGCCUAACACAUGCAAGUCGAGCGGAGCGGCGGACGGGUGAGUAAUGCCAAGGAAUCGGCCUGGUAGUGGGGGAUGACGUACGGAAACGGGCGCUAAUACCGCAUACUAUCAGAUGAGCCUAGGCCGGAUUAGCUAGUUGGUGGGGUAAAGGCCUACCAAGGCGACGAUCCGUAACUGGUAUGAUAGGAUGAUCAGUCACACUGGAACUGAGACACGGUCCAGACUCCUACGGGAGGCAGCAGUGGGGAAGUUUGGACAAUGGGCUAAAGCCUGAUCCAGCCAUGCCGCGUGUGUGAAGAAGGUCUUCGGAUUGUAAAGCACUUUAAGUUGGGAGGCGUUACCAACAGAAUAAGCACCGGCUAACUUCGUGCCAGCAGCCGCGGUAAUUC
rnacentral:rRNA from 1 species